AUGCUGCUGCACGUGUACUCCUCCAGGACUAACAGGUGGGAGGAGAGGUCCUUCCGGCGGCAGGGGGAGGCCUUCGGGACCAUCGCCGACGUGCCUUGGUCUCCCAUGAACCAAAGACGCGCCGUCUACUGGCAUGGACACCUCUACGUGCACCACCAUUUUGUCAUGAGAAUAUCUUUGUUAAGUGGCAAGUACCAAGUAAUCAAGCCACCCCAAGGUAUUAUUACCAAGGCCCAAGAAGUUCCACAACAACGACUCGGAAAAUCGGAGAAAGGUGUGUAUCUUGCAUCAAUCGCUUCUCAUCGCUGGCUUCAAGUAUGGAUCCUCGACGAGGCUCAUGCUCCUACCGAGUGGGUCUUAAAGUAUGAGACAGAUCUUGUCCUUGGCCGUGUGCAAGCAGAUCUGAGAUACAAUCCGGAUGCUCAGGGGUCUUGGAUCAUAGAAGACGUCAACGAUAAUCCCCCUCGUGAUACAUCUCCAGAUUACAAAGAACAAGCUAAGCAGGAAAAUAAGGAUGUCCUUGGCACCAAAGAUUUUUACAUCCUUGGAUUUCACCCUCAUGAAGAAGUUCUCUUUCUGAGCGAGUCCUUGCAGAGAGGAAUGGCCUAUCAUUUGAGUAGCUCGAAGUUCCAAUACCUGGGAAACAUGCGCCCGACACGCUACCAUGGGUUUAGUGAAGGCUAUGAAUUCUUACGAAGUUCAUUUCCAUACACGCCAUGCUUGACCACAGAGUUCCCUACGGAUAAUUGA
rnacentral:rRNA from 1 species